GCGGCCGCCAGAAGACCUCCCCAGCGGCCGCCAAAACACCUCCCCAGCGGCCGCCAGCAGACCUCCCCAGCGGCCUCCAGAAGACCUCCCCCUGGCAGGUAUUAGUAAUGUGUCAGUGUGAGUUUGUCUGUCUGUUAUGGUGUGUGUGUCUGUCUGUCUUUGUCAUGGUGUCUGUAUGGUGUGUGUCUGUGUGUGUCUGCAUGUGAGUCUGUCUGUAUGGUGUGUGUCUGUCUGUGUCAUGGUGUGUGUGUCUGUCCGUCAUGGGGGAUGUGUGUGUGUCUGUGUGUCAUGGGGGGUGUGUGUGUGUCUGUCCG